AGGAUUAUAUUUAAUUAUAAUAUUUGAUUUGCAAUCAAAAGGUGUUUAAGAACUAAUCUUA
rnacentral:tRNA from 1 species